ensembl:lncRNA
GUUGACUUGUGAACCGACCGGUGAACCGCGAGCAACUUUCGAGUGGAACUAACCGCUGAUUCUUCAGUGACAAACUUAGCUUGGGCUACAAAAAAAGUGACUCUGUGACUUUUUAAAAAGUUGUCAGGACGUAAAUGAUAGGAAGACAUUUUAGACGAUAAGUGGCCAGACCUGUCAAACACCUGUAUACAGGUGGAGGUUAGCAAACCGGAGCGUCCAUUACAGCUCACAGCACGAUGAGCGGCAUCAAAGUGUCAGUUGGAGAAAGAGAGUCACCAAGAGCAGAAGAGGAUAAGCCUUUCCAAUUCUAUGCAUGAAGACCUGUGAGAAAGGAGGGGGAGCCACCAUCCUGUGGAAGGGAAAUAAAUUUGCCUGUCCAUCCACCGCCUGGAUGAAAUUAAUUGCAGACUCCUCAUGCUGUCUGGAGAGGCUCCCCAUCUGGAUGGAAGACAGUCCUCUGUGUGCCUGAUUAAUGGUGUGGAGAGACAGUUGCCAGUUCUGAAGCCUUGCUGUCUGGCCCAGGUCAAAACUUCCAGAAGGCAACCUAAUGGUAAGGUGUGAAAGGAUCAUUCCAAGUCUCAAAGGAGAGGCUUCUUUCAAUAUCCUCAAAGUAGCGGAUCCCACCCACUCAAUUGUUCUCUACAUAAUCAUAUAAAAAG